AGAGAAACAACUGGUUAUGAACCUACCCAUAGAUACACAUGGGUUGACCAACCAAAGUUGGGCUCGUGUGUAGUCUGUGUGGAUUCUAGUACCCACUAAGGAAUUAAAGUAAUUUCUUGAAUUGGAGGUUGAGGCUACCAGUUCGUAAAAAUAUUGGGAGAAACUUUAGACUAAAGUCCAAGUCUUUAGUAUUAAUAAUUUAUAUACUAAUAA
rnacentral:lncRNA from 1 species